rnacentral:lncRNA from 1 species
AUAUUUAACAAAUCCAUAAAUGAAGAGUUAAAGAUUUUUAAAAAGUAUUUAAAUCGUCUUUGUAGUCGUUUUGUCUCUUUGUAGUCAGUUUGUGUCUCUUUGUAAUCGUUUUGUCUCUUAGUAGUCGUUUUGUCUCUUUGUAGUCGUUUUGUGUCUCUUUGUAGUCGUUUUGUGUCUAUUUGUAGUCAUUUUGUGUCUCUUUGUAGUGGUUUUGUCUCUUUGUAGUGGUUGUGUCUAUUUGUAGUCGUUUUGUGUCUCUUUGUAGUCGUUUUGUCUCUAUGUAGUUGUUUUGUGUCUCUUUGUAGUUGUUUUGUGUCGUUUUGUCUCUUUGUAGUAGGUUUUUAUCUCUUGUAGUAGUUUUGUGUCUCUUUGUAGUCAGUUUGUGUCUCUUUGUAGUCGUGUUGUCUCUUUGUAGUUGAUUUGUGUCUCUUUGUAGUCAGUUUGUCUCUUUGUAGUUGUUUUGUGUCUCUUUGUAGUCGUUUUGUCUCUUUGUAGUCAUUUUGUCUCUUUGUAGUUGUUUUGUGUCUCUUUGUGGUCGUUUUGUGUCAUUUUGUCUCUUUGUAGUCAGUUUGUGUCUCUUUGUAGUCAGUUUGUCUCUUUGUAGUUGUUUUGUCUCUGUAGUCAUUUUGUCUCUUUGUAAUCGUUUUGUCUCUUUGUAGUUGUUUUGUGUCUCUUUGUAGUUGUUUUGUGUCGUUGUGUCUCUUUGUAGUGAUUUUGUCUCUUUGUAGUCGUUUAGUGUGUCUUUGUAGUCGUUUUGUCUCUUUGUAGUCGUUUUGUCUCUUUGUAGUCAGAUUGUGUCUCUUUGUAGUCGUUUUGUCUCUUUGUAGUUGUUUUGUGUCUCUUUGUAGUUGUUUUGUGUCGUUGUGUCUCUUUGUAGUCAUUUUGUCUCUUUGUAGUCAUUUUGUGUCUCUUUGUAGUCAUUUUGUGUCUCUUUGUAGUCGUUUUGUCUCUUUGUAGUCGUUUUGUGUCUUUGUAGUCGUUUUGUAUCUCUUUGUGGUCGGUUUGUGUCUCUUUGUAGUCCGUGCGAAGUCAGUGUCCUCUCUGACCUCUGAGUAUUUG